GAGAGUGUAUGUGUGUGUGUGUAUAUAUAUAGAGAGAGAGUGUAUACACACACACACACACACACACACACACACACACACACACACUUUU
rnacentral:miRNA from 1 species